rnacentral:rRNA from 1 species
GACGAACGCGGCGGCGUGCCUAAUACAUGCAAGUAGAACGCUGAAGGAGGAGCUUGCUUCUCUGGAUGAGUUGCGAACGGGUGAGUAACGCGUAGGUAACCUGCCUGGUAGCGGGGGAUAACUAUUGGAAACGAUAGCUAAUACCGCAUAAUAGCAGUUAUUGCAUGAUAACUGCUUGAAAGGUGCAAUUGCAUCACUACCAGAUGGACCUGCGUUGUAUUAGCUAGUUGGUGGGGUAACGGCUCACCAAGGCGACGAUACAUAGCCGACCUGAGAGGGUGAUCGGCCACACUGGGACUGAGACACGGCCCAGACUCCUACGGGAGGCAGCAGUAGGGAAUCUUCGGCAAUGGACGGAAGUCUGACCGAGCAACGCCGCGUGAGUGAAGAAGGUUUUCGGAUCGUAAAGCUCUGUUGUAAGAGAAGAAACGAGUGUGAGAAGUGGAAAGUUUCAACAACUGGG